GACCUCUCUCCUAUUCUCUCUCUCUCUUCACGGACCUCCCUCGCUCUCUCUUUGUGGACCUCCCUCUCUCUAUGUUCAGCAGUAGCGAUGGACGCGAUGCAGCAAUAGCGAUGGAUGCGAUGGCAGUGAUGAAGCAGCCAUUGAAGCCCCUGGGCUUGAGCAUUGCCUCUCUCUCUUUAUCAGUCAUUGAAGCCCUCUCAUCCCACACAGAGGGAUGGACACCUCUCGCUAUAGCUACAACAGCAGUAGCGCAUCCCUCUCUCUCUGUCUAUAUGCAGCCAUUGAAGCCCUGAGCUUAGGCAUCUCUCUCUUUUUAGUAACUAUUGAAGCCCUCUGAGCCCACACAGAAAUUAAAGCCCUCUCAUCCCUCACCAUUAGCAACUAUUGAAGCUCUCUCGCUAGCUUAAAAAAACCCUGGCUGGCCUCCCAACUGUAGCCCACCCCAUCUCUAAAGUUUUGUUUUUGGCCAUUGGGUUUUUUCGCCCCUGUUGCAUUGAGUUUAUAUCACAAGUAUGUAGUAUCUAUUUGUCACAAUUUUAUCUUCCUCUUACAACGCUAAGGACAAAACACGUCAUAAGCUUUGGACCCAUAAGAAGGCCGCAGAUGUGAGUUGAUGGUAAGAAGCAAUUGUUUAGAAGUCAUGUUUGCAAGUUCAUUUUGAAACAUUUGUAUAUGCGUGUAAGUUCAUAUUUGUAAUUUCAUUUGGAACACUAUUGUCACUCAUCAAAAUGUGUCUCAGGCAGAGAGGACAAAUUCAUAUGGAACAACUUCAAAGGAGGGGCUAUGUUGCUGUUUUUUUUUUUUUUUUGAAAAGUUGUUGUUAAACUAUUGGCAUUAUUGAUGUAGGUUUUAUGCAUUUCACUCAAAAAAAAGAUAUAGGUUGUAUGCCAUUGUACUCUUUUCACUUCUUUUUGGGUUGUUAGGUGAUAUGUAAGGUGAUUGGGUACAAGGAACGAACCAUUAUUUGAUAAUGGCCAGGACUACUGAAUUUUAUAUGAGCAAUUUUGUUAUUGAAUGGACUACCCCAUUUGGCAGGUAGUUGAUGAAUUGUAUGUAAUAUUAUAGUUAUCAAAUGCAAUGUAUUAUCACUAUGGCAAUAAUUUGUCAACCUGUUUCUUGAAAGGUGUUUAGAUGAAUAGAAUGUAAUUCAAAUUGUUAGCA